CUUCAGUAACUGUCACGCCUACAAGGCAGGGCCAAGAGAGGACCCUAAAGACCCAACAUCUGGAUGUGCCGCCUCUCUUGUGUCCUGGACCCCGGAUGCUGGAGGUAGACCGAGCAGAGUUCUCCAGAGAACACCGCCAUACUGUGCUACGUCUUCCCCAGACCCUGCAACCUAUCUAUCCCUUCAUUUGGAAGUCAUUUAAACCCCCAAGAGGAACACACGCUGAGAAAAGCAAAGAUUGUUCUACCAGAAAACUGCUCUGAGAAGGUCAAAGUUAGAAAACAAGCUACUAUACUGGAUGGAUGAAUAACUUACGAAAAGCAUCUCUGUGCAGAGAUGAAAAGGAAAGCACAAUGUGCUAAGGUCAAGGCAGAAGAGAAAGAAAACUUUCUUUGAAGAGCCAAGCAGAGAAUUAUUCCACAAAGAAAGCUACACUACAAAGUGGACUGAGCACGGCUGCCUGUGUGGACCCCAUGUUAGAGAAGUUGACCUUCCACAGUGAGGAUGCUGUCUGUGUAAACGGAAGUUGGACAGCAGUGGCUGUCUAUGGAAUCUCUCCGGUGACACCUUUGCAGUUCUGUCACCAUUCACCACACUUCGCUAAAGUAAGCUAGAGACAUUGUCUAGGCAUUCCUCAGCACCAAUGAGGUGCUUGGAGAGAGAACCUUUCAAGGAUUCAGGUCACAACCAGUCCCAGGGCUCCUCAACUACCAUAUCACUAAACUCACUAAGAGGUAUUUUAGAUGUUUGCUCAUUGUCAAUCCCAUAAAAAUUUAAUUCCAAA